rnacentral:lncRNA from 1 species
CAAAUAAAAUAAUAGCACUAUUUUUGGGUAAAUUUUAAAUUUUUCCUUUCCUUGAAUCAAUAAAAUUUUUUUUUUCCAAAGACUUAGGACAAUAGCUCACUUAGAAAGUAUAUAGGUUAAGAAAAGACGAGAGGCUAAGUUAAGGAAAUUAGGGAAUUUCACAACAAAAUCGGUAUUUUUCCAACACCCAGAAGUCUCCCUAGUAUAGAUAUCAAUUUGAAUAACCAUUGUGCCAAAAUCUCCUGAUUUAAAUUUAUGGAAUCCUUUAGUAGUUUAUCUAUCCAGUCGGACACCAUCUAUAAAGUCACACAUUAAGUAAGUUUGUCGAUGAAUAUAAGCGAAUCAUCUAAGCAAAUUUUUAAGGUCAUACUGUGGUAAUACGGUUAAACCUUAAAGAAAAAAAAAACAUAUAUAAGGUCAUACUGUGGUAAUACGGUUAAACCUUGAAAAAAUAUUUAUAUGAUUGCUAAUACAAAAUUUGUAUCAUCAAAAUUUGUAUCAUCAAGCUAAUUGCAGGUUGANNNNNNNNNNNNNNNNNNNNNNNNNNNNNNNNNNNCGAUUUUCUUACCAUGUGUGUGACAUAGAUAAAGGGUCUUAAUGUGACUGUCUAGAAUGAAAAAGGAUGAAACAAAGGAGAAGAUUUAGAUUUUAGUACAACGGCAUGAUCCGAGUUCGAUAUGUAUAAGAGGGAGAACUUUGUGUGUCGUUGAAAUACCCUUCUUGAUUGUGUAAAGAAC